CCCCAGACUCCUACGGGAGGCAGCAGUGGGGAAUAUUGCACAAUGGGGGAAACCCUGAUGCAGCGACGCCGCGUGAGUGAAGAAGUAAUUCGUUAUGUAAAGCUCUAUCAGCAGGGAAGAAAAUGACGGUACCUGAGUAAGAAGCCCCGGCUAACUACGUGCCAGCAGCCGCGGUAAUACGUAGGGGGCAAGCGUUAUCCGGAUUUACUGGGUGUAAAGGGAGCGUAGACGGCAGUGCAAGUCUGGAGUGAAAGGCGGGGGCUCAACCCCCGGACUGCUCUGGAAACUGUACGGCUGGAGGGCAGGAGAGGUAAGGGGAAUUCCUAGGGGAGCGGUGAAAGGCGGAGAUAUUAGGAGGAACACCAGUGGCGAAGGCGGCCUGCGGGACGGCAACUGACGUUGAGGCUCGAAGGCGUGGGGAGCAAACAGGAUUAGAUCCCCUUGUA
rnacentral:rRNA from 1 species